rnacentral:rRNA from 1 species
ACGUAGGGGGCGAGCGUUGUCCGGAAUUACUGGGCGUAAAGGGUGCGUAGGUGGCCUUUUAAGUUGGAUGUGAAAUACCCGGGCUUAACUUGGGGGGUGCAUCUAAUACUGGAGGGCUAGAGUGCAGGAGAGGAAAGCGGAAUUCCUAGUGUAGCGGUGAAAUGCGUAGAUAUUAGGAGGAACACCAGUGGCGAAGGCGGCUUUCUGGACUGUAACUGACACUGAGGCACGAAAGCGUGGGGAGCAAACAG